GAUGAACGCUGGCGGCGUGCCUAAUACAUGCAAGUCGAGCGAACAGAUGAGGAGCUUGCUCCUCUGACGUUAGCGGCGGACGGGUGAGUAACACGUGGAUAGCCUACCUAUAAGACUGGGAUAACUUCGGGAAACCGGAGCUAAUACCGGAUAAUAUAUUGAACCGCAUGGUUCAAUAGUGAAAGACGGUUUUGCUGUCACUUAUAGAUGGAUCCGCGCCGCAUUAGCUAGUUGGUAAGGUAACGGCUUACCAAGGCAACGAUGCGUAGCCGACCUGAGAGGGUGAUCGGCCACACUGGAACUGAGACACGGUCCAGACUCCUACGGGAGGCAGCAGUAGGGAAUCUUCCGCAAAGGGCGAAAGCCUGACGGAGCAACGCCGCGUGAGUGAUGAAGGUCUUCGGAUCGUAAAACUCUGUUAUUAGGGAAGAACAAAUGUGUAAGUAACUAUGCACGUCUUGACGGUACCUAAUCAGAAAGCCACGGCUAACUACGUG
rnacentral:rRNA from 1 species